rnacentral:rRNA from 1 species
GAUGAACGCUGGCGGCGUGCCUAAUACAUGCAAGUCGAGCGAACAGACGAGGAGCUUGCUCCUUCGACGUUAGCGGCGGACGGGUGAGUAACACGUAGGUAACCUACCUAUAAGACUGGGAUAACUUCGGGAAACCGGAGCUAAUACCGGAUAAUAUUUCGAACCGCAUGGUUCGAUAGUGAAAGAUGGCUUUGCUAUCACUUAUAGAUGGACCUGCGCCGUAUUAGCUAGUUGGUAAGGUAACGGCUUACCAAGGCAACGAUACGUAGCCGACCUGAGAGGGUGAUCGGCCACACUGGAACUGAGACACGGUCCAUACUCCUACGGGAGGCAGCAGUAGGGAAUCUGCCGCAAUGGGCGAAAGCCUGACGGAGCAACGCCGCGUGAGUGAUGAAGGUCUUCGGAUCGUAAAACUCUGUUAUUAGGGAAGAACAAACGUGUAAGUAACUGUGCACGGCUUGACGGUACCUAAUCAGAAAGCCACGGCUAACUACGUG